rnacentral:rRNA from 1 species
GACGGGGGAUGCAAGUGUUAUCCGGAAUUAUUGGGCGUAAAGAGCUCGUAGGCGGUUUGUCGCGUCGGCUGUGAAAACCUGGGGCUCAACCCCGGGCCUGCAGCCGAUACGGGCAAACUAGAAUUCGGUAGGGGAGACUGGAAUUCCUGGUGUAGCGGUGAAAUGCGCAGAUAUCAGGAGGAACACCGGUGGCGAAGGCGGGUCUCUGGGCCGAUAUUGACGCUGAGGAGCGAAAGCGUGGGGAGCAAACAGG